CUUGCACAAACAAACAAGCAAACAAGCAAGCAAAAAAUAAAUAGAACGUCAUGCACAGCUAAAUUUAUUUGAUCACACUGUAUUAAUUUGUUUUUUUGC
rnacentral:ribozyme from 1 species